GACGAACGCUGGCGGCGCGCCUAACACAUGCAAGUCGAACGAGCGAGAGGAGGUUUACUUUCUCAAGCGAGUGGCGAACGGGUGAGUAACGCGUGAGGAACCUGCCUCAAAGAGGGGGACAACAGUUGGAAACGACUGCUAAUACCGCAUAAGCCCACGACCCGGCAUCGGGUAGAGGGAAAAGGAGCAAUCCGCUUUGAGAUGGCCUCGUGUCCGAUUAGCUAGUUGGUGAGGUAACGGCCCACCAAGGCGACGAUCGGUAGCCGGACUGAGAGGUUGAACGGCCACAUUGGGACUGAGACACGGCCCAGACUCCUACGGGAGGCAGCAGUGGGGAAUAUUGCACAAUGGGGGAAACCCUGAUGCAGCGACGCCGCGUGGAGGAAGAAGGUCUUCGGAUUGUAAACUCC
rnacentral:rRNA from 1 species